GAGGAAGAACGUAGCGAAAUGCGAUAAGUAAUGUGAAUUGCAGAAUUCAGUGAAUCAUCGAAUCUUUGAACGCACCUUGCGCCCUUUGGCCAUUCCGAAGGGCAUGCCUGUUUGAGUAUCAUGAACACCUCAACUCUUUAUGGUUUUCCAUGAUGAGCUUGGACUCUGGGGGUUUUGCUGGCUCACAGUCGGCUCCUCUAAAAUGAAUCAGCUUACCAGUGUUUGGUGGGUAUCAUGGGUGUGAUAACUAUCUACGCUUGUGGUUUUUCCACCAGGUAACCUUCAGCAGUGGAGGUUCGCUGGAGCUCAUAGAUGUCUCUCCUCAGUGAGGACAGCCCUUUGAAUGUUUGAUCUCAAAUCAGGUAGGACUACCCGCUGAACUUAAGCAUAUCAAUAAGCGGAGGA
rnacentral:misc_RNA from 1 species